rnacentral:lncRNA from 1 species
AGUUUGAUACUUUUCCAAAAGCACAUUUUGAAGGAAACCCUUUGUUGUGCGGUGGUGUACUGCUUUCUUCCUGCAAGGCUCCACCUCAGCCGCCUGCUACAACCACGGAUGAAGAGGAUACAGAGGAGUUAAAAAGAACGUUUUUCGUAGGGGUUGUCAUUGGGUUUUUUGUUUCCUACUGUUUUUACUGGUGCUUGUUUGCUAUGCGAUGGGCAUAAUAAUAAAGAUCCAUUGCUUAAUUUGACUAAGUAUCUAUUUCCACAGGUAAAAUAAACUGAAAGUGUAUUCAUUUUAAUCUCUUUGAUCUGUAUCAAAUUCGUACCAGAGCAGUUGGUCUGUUAUGACAGAAACCUCGUUUGUCAUCAGUGUACCACAACUUAUCAGGGGAAAAGGCUAAAAAUCAAAGAGCAAAUCAUAUCAAUAUUAACAAUAUGCAAGCUAAAAUUAAGAGCUUUCGAAACGAUAUCUUCAAAAAGAUCCAAUGAUACACUGAAAUUGAAAGCUGAGAACCCGAGGAAGUAUACUCGAAUCAGAUAUCAGACAUUUCAAAAAAUAACCGCAAAGAGAAGAACCUGGCACCUGGAGUUAACAGAGAGACGGCGAAGAAUAAUGAUGGAUUUCUUCUCGCUGGAUAACAAAUUAAAAUUUUGGGUUUUCACCAGUAGUCGAGAAUCGUAUUCACUGGGGAAGAAGGCUAGUGUCAGCUCCGUUUGUUUGCUCC